rnacentral:rRNA from 1 species
UACGAAGGGGGCUAGCGUUGCUCGGAAUCACUGGGCGUAAAGGGCGCGUAGGCGGCCAUUCAAGUCAGGGUGAAAGCCUGUGGCUCAACCACAGAAUUGCCUUUGAUACUGUUUGGCUAGAGACCGGAAGAGGUAAGUGGAACUGCGAGUGUAGAGGUGAAAUUCGUAGAUAUUCGCAAGAACACCAGUGGCGAAGGCGGCUUACUGGUCCGGUUCUGACGCUGAGGCGCGAAAGCGUGGGGAGCGAACAGG